rnacentral:rRNA from 1 species
CCUACGGGUGGCAGCAGUGGGGGAUAUUGCACAAUGGUGGGAACCCUGAUGCAGCGACGCCGCGUGGGUGAAGAAGCGCCUCGGCGCGUAAAGCCCUGUCAGCAGGGAAGAAAAUGCCGGUACCUGAAGAAGAAGCCCCGGCUAACUACGUGCCAGCAGCCGCGGUAAUACGUAGGGGGCAAGCGUUAUCCGGAUUUACUGGGGGUAAAGGGGGCGCAGACGGCGAGGCAAGCCAGGAGUGAAAGCCCGGGGGCCAACCCCGGGACUGCUCUUGAAACUGGGUGGCUGGAGUGCGGGAGGGGCAGGCGGAAUUCGUGGUGUAGCGGUGAAAUGCGUAGAUAUCAGGAGGAACACCGGUGGCGAAGGCGGCCUGCUGGACUGCAACUGACGUUGAGGCCCGAAAGCGUGGGGAGCAAACAGGAUUAGAUACCCGAGUAGUC